rnacentral:tRNA from 1 species
GCUGAUGUAGCUCAAACGGCAGAGCGGCUGCCUUGUAAGCAGCAGGUUAUGAGGUCGAGACUCAUCAUCAGCU